CUAUUGCCCAGGGCGUAUCUUCAUGCCAUGGAGGGCUCCCAUGCAAGUCUAUGAUUGAUGAAUCAUAGACUUGUGUGGAGGCGGGUUAGGAGUAGUAAUGCUAAUGAGAGAGAGCUGGACAGAAGGAAUCAAGGGUUUUUAUUGGUACCGCACCGCCUAGGAAGUUUGAACAUUGUAAAGAAAGUGGCUAGGAGUGACAGAAAAAGGGUAGCAUAUGAACAAAACCCCACUCUAUUCAACAUUAUGAGGAAUGAUAAAGACUAACUGGAUGAGAAGGAGAAGAAAGGGGUAUAUAGGAUACCCAUCACAGACAUGAACACAAAUCAAGAUUCAGUGUAUAUAGGGGUGACGUCAAGGUCAUUAGGAGUGCGGCUGGACGAACAUAGAAAUGACAUCAUAAAGGGGAGAACGGGCACGGCCUUAGCAGCUGAAGCGUAUAGCAACAAUCUCUAAAAUCUCUAAAAUAAACAAUCUCAAUCUAUAAAAUGGGAAGAAGCUAAUUGUAUUAAAUCCCUAGGGAAGCAUGUGAGACCUACAGUGAUGGAAUCUU
rnacentral:lncRNA from 1 species